rnacentral:rRNA from 1 species
CGGGGUGCAGCAGGCGCGAAAACUUUACAAUGCGGGAAACCGUGAUAAGGGGACACCGAGUGCCAGCAUCAUAUGCUGGCUGUCCAGGUGUGUAAAAUACACCUGUUAGCAAGGGCCGGGCAAGACCGGUGCCAGCCGCCGCGGUAACACCGGCGGCCCGAGUGGUGAUCGUGAUUAUUGGGUCUAAAGGGUCCGUAGCCGGUUUGGUCAGUCCUCCGGGAAAUCUGACGGCUCAACCGUUAGGCUUUCGGGGGAUACUGCCAGGCUUGGAACCGGGAGAGGUAAGAGGUACUACAGGGGUAGGAGUGAAAUCUUGUAAUCCCUGUGAGACCACCUGUGGCGAAGGCGUCUUACCAGAACGGGUUCGACGGUGAGGGACGAAAGCUGGGGGCACGAACCGGAUUAGAUACCCGGGUAGUCCCAGCCGUAAACGAUGCUCGCUAGGUGUCAGGCAUGGCGCGACCGUGUCUGGUGCCGCAGGGAAGCCGUGAAGCGAGCCACCUGGGAAGUACGGCCGCAAGGCUGAAACUUAAAGGAAUUGGCGGGGGAGCAC